UGGUAAUGCCGGAUGCUCCAGUUGGAUGCAUGUCCUUCUGGGAAAGAUUCAUCGGUAUGGGAUGGGGUCGCGUCCUAUCAGCUUGAUGGCGGGGUAACGGCCCACCAUGGCUUCGACGGGUAGCCGGCCUGAGAGGGCGACCGGCCACAUUGGGACUGAGAUACGGCCCAGACUCCUACGGGAGGCAGCAGUGGGGAAUAUUGCACAAUGGGCGCAAGCCUGAUGCAGCGACGCCGCGUGCGGGAUGACGGCCUUCGGGUUGUAAACCGCUUUUGACUGGGAGCAAGCCCUUCGGGGUGAGUGUACCUUUCGAAUAAGCACCGGCUAACUACGUGCCAGCAGCCGCGGUAAUACGUAGGGUGCAAGCGUUAUCCGGAAUUAUUGGGCGUAAAGGGCUCGUAGGCGGUUCGUCGCGUCCGGUGUGAAAGUCCAUCGCUUAACGGUGGAUCCGCGCCGGGUACGGGCGGGCUUGAGUGCGGUAGGGGAGACUGGAAUUCCCGGUGUAACGGUGGAAUGUGUAGAUAUCGGAAAGAACA
rnacentral:rRNA from 1 species